rnacentral:lncRNA from 1 species
CACCCCAUGUGCACCCUCACCUCACACACCCCAUAUGCACCCUCACACACCCCAUGUGCACCCUCACACACCUCAUGUGCACCCUCACACACCCCAUGUGCAUCCUCACCUCACACACCCCAUGUGCACCCUCACCUCACACACCUCAUGUGCACCCUCACACACCCCAUGUGCACCCUCACACACCCCAUGUGCACCCUCACCUCACACACCCCAUUUGCACCCUCACACAUCCCCUAUGCACCCUCACACACCUCAUAUGCACCCUCACCUCACACACCCCAUGUGCACCCUCAUACAUCC